rnacentral:lncRNA from 11 species
GUUUUUCAAAGUUGAUUCGGUGUACAAUCGGUGGUAAUUCAGAACUGACAGUGAUUGGAUGUGUGUCUUUCCCUAUGCUUGAGUUCUACCCGUUACGUGACUAAGCGAUGCCUCCAGGAUGGACCAGAAACAAGACCGGAUCAGUAUCCUCGCACAGCCGAAAAUUAACCACCAGGUCCUCUGCUGCAGGCCCACUGUCUACUGGGUAGAUAAAAUCCCCCCGGAGCACCCGCGAUUUACCGUACCAGGCAAGUUGUUGACAACUGGAGCUAUUGGUGGCUUAAAGGGAUUACAAUUUA